CCCUUAGAUGUUCUGGGCCGCACGCGCGCUACACUGAUUCAUGCAACGAGUUUUGUCCUUGGCUGAAAGGCCUGGGUAAUCUUUGAACGUGAAUCGUGCUGGGGAUAGAUGAUUGCAAUUAUUCAUCUUCAACGAGGAAUUCCUAGUAAACGCAAGUCAUCAGCUUGCAUUGAUUACGUCCCUGCCCUUUGUACACACCGCCCGUCGCACCUACCGAUUGAAUGGUCCGGUGAAAUCUUCGGAUCUGAGAGAUGUUGGAUUAAUUUCUGACGCCUUUUGGAAAAGUUGCUUAAACCUUAUCAUUUAGAGGAAGGUGAAGUCGUAACA
rnacentral:rRNA from 1 species